UGCGUAGGCGGCGCGGUAAGUCGGGUGUGAAAUCUCGGAGCUUAACUCCGAAACUGCAUUCGAUACUGCCGUGCUUGAGGACUGGAGAAGAGACUGGAAUUUACGGUGUAGCGGUGAAAUGCGUAGAUAUCGUAAGGAAGACCAGUGGCGAAGGCGGGUCUCUGGACAGUUCCUGACGCUGAGGCACGAAAGGGUCAGGGAAGGCAAAACCG
rnacentral:rRNA from 1 species